rnacentral:rRNA from 1 species
AAAAACAUAACCUUUAGCCAAACAAAUAUUAAAGGCAACGCCUGCCCAGUGAACAAUUAAACGGCCGCGGUACCCUAACCGUGCAAAGGUAGCAUAAUCAUUUGUCUACUAAUUAUAGACCUGUAUGAAAGGCAAAAUGAGGGUCUAACUGUCUCUUAUAAUAAAUCAAUUAAACUGAUCUCCUAGUAAAAAAGCUAGAAUAACAACAUAAGACCAGAAGACCCUGUGAAGCUUAAAUCAAACUAUUAAACCAUAUAAUAACUACUUUCGGUUGGGGCGACCUUGGAAAAAAAAAGAACUUCCAAGACCCAGCACAGCUGAUAAAUGAACCAAGUUACUCCAGGGAUAACAGCGCAAUCUUCUUCAAGAGUCCAUAUCAAAAAGAGGGUUUACGACCUCGAUGUUGGAUCAGGACAUCCUAAUGGUGCAGCCGCUAUUAAGGGUUCGUUUGUUCAACGAUUAACAGUCCUACGUGAUCUGA